AACGAACGCUGGCGGCAGGCCUAACACAUGCAAGUCGAGCGGACCCUUCGGGGUUAGCGGCGGACGGGUGAGUAACGCGUGGGAACGUGUCCUUUGCUUCGGAAUAGCCCUGGGAAACUGGGAGUAAUACCGGAUACGCCCUUUUGGGGAAAGAUUUAUCGGCGAAGGAUCGGCCCGCGUUGGAUUAGGUAGUUGGUGGGGUAAUGGCCUACCAAGCCGACGAUCCAUAGCUGGUUUGAGAGGAUGAUCAGCCACACUGGGACUGAGACACGGCCCAGACUCCUACGGGAGGCAGCAGUGGGGAAUCUUAGACAAUGGGGGAAACCCUGAUCGAGCCAUGCCGCGUGAGCGAUGAAGGCCUUAGGGUUGUAAAGCUCUUUCACCGGGGAAGAUAAUGACGGUACCCGGAGAAGAAGCCCCGGCUAACUCCGUG
rnacentral:rRNA from 1 species